GUUUUUGUAUAACAUGUUUAACAUGCACAGUGUCAAGUAUUGUGCCCUUUGUUUGCUAGCCUGGGUUAUAGGUUAAUAGAUGAACUGAUUGUCAUAAUGGAUGCCAGCCAAUGGUUGUUUUAAAUAUUUGGCUUUAGACAUCAGAUUAUAUAAAUUGAUUGAAUGGUAAUAGAUGACCACAAUUUGCAAAAAGUAUAUUUUAACUUUUUGAUUUUGAUACAUGUUUGAUUGAAAUUUGUUGAAGAUAAGUUGUUUUCAAGUAUUGACAGGUUGCAAUCAUGUCAUAUAUUAGUCUUAUUGAAAUGCUGUUGCAUUUUAGGAACAUCACUGCUUUUGAUUUUGGUCCUGAAACCAUGGGUUUAAUAGUUCCAAGGUCAUCUACAUUGAUGGAGAGACUACCGAAAUGAAGUUAUGGGGACAUCUUAAUUGGUUUUAUUGGAAUCUGUGAGAAUGACAUUUAUAACUAGGUCAGUGAUGAGACUAGAUCAACUGUGUUAGAAUUCAUUGUCUAUCAUUUUUCCCCCCAUAUGUCAUUGUAUGUCAGGAUGUUUUAUACACAAAGAUACACAAUGUACUUCAAAGACAUCUUAGAUGUGCACAGACUAAAAUGGAUUUUUCUAGUACCUUGUUGAAUUUCACUUUAAGUUUACAUAAUUAUUAUUUUUGUGAAUGUAUGUACAGGUACAUCCUAAGGCGCGUCUGUCAUUAUAUACUAAAUUUAGUCCUGGUAUCUAUGAUGAGUUAUUUAUACCUAAAUAUGAGCUGUAUUUUUUUGUGAUUUAUGUUAGCUAUUUUAUUACAUAGUAUUAUAUGAUAGGUAACAUACAAAUGUAUGUCUGUAAAGUUCCUAGUAUUAAAUAUUAUACAGAUGUUUAUAUAUAUAAUUAUAUCUCAAAUGAUUGUUAUUUUCUUCAUUUCUUAAUCAUGUUUAUAUUUAUGUGAAACAUAAAUCAAAUUUAAGGAUAUAUGGAAUAAAUUAUACUGAACGACUAUAAUUUACCAACACUCCAACUUAAUUUCUGUUACAUAAAUACCCA
rnacentral:lncRNA from 1 species